GGGUUGUGAGGUUAAGCGACUAAGCGUACACGGUGGAUGCCCUGGCAGUCAGAGGCGAUGAAGGACGUGCUAAUCUGCGAAAAGCGUCGGUAAGGUGAUAUGAACCGUUACAGCCGGCGAUGUCCGAAUGGGGAAACCCAGUGCAAUUCGUUGCACUAUCGUUAACUGAAUACAUAGGUUAACGAGGCGAACCGGGGGAACUGAAACAUCUAAGUACCCCGAGGAAAAGAAAUCAACCGAGAUUCCCCCAGUAGCGGCGAGCGAACGGGGAGCAGCCCAGAGUCUGAAUCAGCUUGUGUGUUAGUGGAACGGUCUGGAAAGUCCGACGGUACAGGGUGAUAGUCCCGUACACCAAAAUGCACAGGCUGUGAACUCGAAGAGUAGGGCGGGACACGUGGUAUCCUGUCUGAAUAUGGGGGGACCAUCCUCCAAGGCUAAAUACUCCUGACUGACCGAUAGUGAACCAGUACCGUGAGGGAAAGGCGAAAAGAACCCCGGCGAGGGGAGUGAAAAAGAACCUGAAACCGUGUACGUACAAGCAGUGGGAGCACCUUCGGGUGUGACUGCGUACCUUUUGUAUAAUGGGUCAGCGACUUAUAUUCUGUAGCAAGGUUAACCGUAUAGGGGAGCCGCAGGGAAACCGAGUCUUAACUGGGCGUUAAGUUGCAGGGUAUAGACCCGAAACCCGGUGAUCUAGCCAUGGGCAGGUUGAAGGUUGGGUAACACUAACUGGAGGACCGAACCGACUAAUGUUGAAAAAUUAGCGGAUGACUUGUGGCUGGGGGUGAAAGGCCAAUCAAACCGGGAGAUAGCUGGUUCUCCCCGAAAGCUAUUUAGGUAGCGCCUCGUGAACUCAUCUUCGGGGGUAGAGCACUGUUUCGGCUAGGGGGUCAUCCCGACUUACCAACCCGAUGCAAACUACGAAUACCGAAGAAUGUUAUCACGGGAGACACACGGCGGGUGCUAACGUCCGUCGUGAAGAGGGAAACAACCCAGACCGCCAGCUAAGGUCCCAAAGUCAUGGUUAAGUGGGAAACGAUGUGGGAAGGCACAGACAGCCAGGAUGUUGGCUUAGAAGCAGCCAUCAUUUAAAGAAAGCGUAAUAGCUCACUGGUCGAGUCGGCCUGCGCGGAAGAUGUAACGGGGCUAAACCAUGCACCGAAGCUGCGGCAGCGACACUAUGUGUUGUUGGGUAGGGGAGCGUUCUGUAAGCCUGCGAAGGUGUGCUGUGAGGCAUGCUGGAGGUAUCAGAAGUGCGAAUGCUGACAUAAGUAACGAUAAAGCGGGUGAAAAGCCCGCUCGCCGGAAGACCAAGGGUUCCUGUCCAACGUUAAUCGGGGCAGGGUGAGUCGACCCCUAAGGCGAGGCCGAAAGGCGUAGUCGAUGGGAAACAGGUUAAUAUUCCUGUACUUGGUGUUACUGCGAAGGGGGGACGGAGAAGGCUAUGUUAGCCGGGCGACGGUUGUCCCGGUUUAAGCAUGUAGGCUGGUUAUCCAGGCAAAUCCGGAUAAUCAAGGCUGAGGUGUGAUGACGAGGCACUACGGUGCUGAAGUAACAAAUGCCCUGCUUCCAGGAAAAGCCUCUAAGCAUCAGGUAACAUCAAAUCGUACCCCAAACCGACACAGGUGGUCAGGUAGAGAAUACCAAGGCGCUUGAGAGAACUCGGGUGAAGGAACUAGGCAAAAUGGUGCCGUAACUUCGGGAGAAGGCACGCUGGUGUGUAGGUGAAGUCCCUGCGGAUGGAGCUGAGACCAGUCGAAGAUACCAGCUGGCUGCAACUGUUUAUUAAAAACACAGCACUGUGCAAACACGAAAGUGGACGUAUACGGUGUGACGCCUGCCCGGUGCCGGAAGGUUAAUUGAUGGGGUUAUCCGUAAGGAGAAGCUCUUGAUCGAAGCCCCGGUAAACGGCGGCCGUAACUAUAACGGUCCUAAGGUAGCGAAAUUCCUUGUCGGGUAAGUUCCGACCUGCACGAAUGGCGUAAUGAUGGCCAGGCUGUCUCCACCCGAGACUCAGUGAAAUUGAACUCGCUGUGAAGAUGCAGUGUACCCGCGGCAAGACGGAAAGACCCCGUGAACCUUUACUAUAGCUUGACACUGAACAUUGAGCCUUGAUGUGUAGGAUAGGUGGGAGGCUUUGAAGCGUGGACGCCAGUCUGCGUGGAGCCAACCUUGAAAUACCACCCUUUAAUGUUUGAUGUUCUAACGUUGGCCCCUGACCGGGGUUGCGGACAGUGUCUGGUGGGUAGUUUGACUGGGGCGGUCUCCUCCCAAAGCGUAACGGAGGAGCACGAAGGUUAGCUAAUCCUGGUCGGACAUCAGGAGGUUAGUGCAAUGGCAUAAGCUAGCUUGACUGCGAGCGUGACGGCGCGAGCAGGUGCGAAAGCAGGUCAUAGUGAUCCGGUGGUUCUGAAUGGAAGGGCCAUCGCUCAACGGAUAAAAGGUACUCCGGGGAUAACAGGCUGAUACCGCCCAAGAGUUCAUAUCGACGGCGGUGUUUGGCACCUCGAUGUCGGCUCAUCACAUCCUGGGGCUGAAGUAGGUCCCAAGGGUAUGGCUGUUCGCCAUUUAAAGUGGUACGCGAGCUGGGUUUAGAACGUCGUGAGACAGUUCGGUCCCUAUCUGCCGUGGGCGCUGGAGAAUUGAGGGGGGCUGCUCCUAGUACGAGAGGACCGGAGUGGACGCAUCACUGGUGUUCGGGUUGUCAUGCCAAUGGCACUGCCCGGUAGCUAAAUGCGGAAGAGAUAAGUGCUGAAAGCAUCUAAGCACGAAACUUGCCCCGAGAUGAGUUCUCCCUGAGACU
rnacentral:rRNA from 1 species